AGUUUGUAAUUAUAAUUGCAUUAAUAUUUGUUUUUGUUUUCAGGUACAUUUGUUGCAGCUUUUAUUGAGGCCGUCGCAGCUGAGAUCCCGUGGUUUUGAGUUCUUCACGUUUGAGAUUAAUCUGGAGUUUUCAGGUACGUUUGUAGCAGCUGAUAUUAAAGCCGUCGCAGCUGGUAUGCCAAGGUUUGCGAUUAAUCUAGAGGUACCAGUUUGCGAUUAGUCUGGAGUUUUCAGGUACGUUUGUAGCAGCUGAUAUUAAAGCCGUCGCAGCUGGUAUGCCAAGGUUUGCGAUUAAUCUAGAGGUACCAGUUUGCGAUUAGUCUGGAGUUUUCAGGUACGUUUGUAGCAGCUAAUAUUAAGGCCAUCGCUGCUGGGAUGCCGUGGCUUUGGAUUCCACAAGUUUGCGAUUAAUCUGGAGGUGCGUUGGGUGCAGCUAAUGUUAUAUCAGUCGAUUAUAGUUUGUAGCUUGUAUCUUAAUAAAUUAUUAAUUAAUUGUAAAUAAA